ensembl:lncRNA
AGAAUCUGUAACUCAAAAUGAAAUCAACAUAUUUGCUUCUCAGUGAAGGUGGCAAAGGGAGCCUCACUGACUCAUUUGCAAACUUAUACAUAGUAAUGUCUGUUUUCAUAUUUGCUCUUUCUUACCUCCCUAAUGUGGCAUCAUCUAGAUUGCCUCCAGGUAAUCAUGCACAGGAGACCACUUUGGGGGAAGUUAUCAGCCCUCCAGUGAAGGAAAUCAAACUGAUCAAGGGAAAUAUUUGACAGGUACUUAGGAAAAGAGGAAAUGGAAGAGGCCAAUCAUCAACACAAGUAAGCAUCUAAUAAAACAUGAUCCACAGAAAUGCA